UAAAGAUUGCAAUGGGAUUGGGUAGGUGACAAAAGCCCAUUCGGCAGCAACCAUUCUCAUUGACUAUUAGAUUUGGAGGGAACAAAGAUGGCUCCAUCGAAUUCACGAACACUAGUCAUCUUCCUCGGUGAACGCAGCUGAUCCGGGUGCUUCUGGAGCACAACCAGGCCAAGGUCGUGGUUGUUGGAUCUGUCUCCCUGUUACCUGACCCCUAUUCUGAUUUUCCAUCCGGGUGGUUCUGCGUUUGAAAGAUAUGAAUUGGGUUCAGCGCAAGAUCUACCUCUACAAUGUAACUUUUGGGCUUUAUAUGCUAGACUGGUGGGAGCGUUGUCUUUUCAAUAUCUUGGUGAUUGUACUUCUGUGGUUUGUACUCUACAACUGGUCACGACAUGUUAAUGAAUUCCUCAAGAGUAUUUACUUUAAUGAAUUCAAACGAGUGCAUGGCGCAUGAUAUUUCUCAGUUCUCAACCUAUCUGUGCGUCGUAACAUUCCUACAUAUAGGAAGAAUGUUCUGCAAUCACCCUUCCUCUGUAUGAGUCCCUUGACUGAACUAUUAGUGAAAUCAGCAAAUGUUAUAAUUCUAUGUUUAACAUCUAUAUCAACUUUAAAAACCAGACCUUCAGGCAAAACUUUGAACAGAUGAGUAUUUGCAUGAAAUAUUUUUCUGUCUCUAAUUGUUAUAGACUAGAGACUUCAGAAAUUCAAGCCAAAAUGGAGUAUGAGAACAUUCGAUUAUGAAGGAAUAUUAUAACUGGGCAUCGAGCUUCCAUUCCCAAUUAUGUAUGCAUAUAGGGAAAAUUAGAAGAGGGAUAACAGGUUAUACUAUUGAGAAGGCAAGUUUAUGUUGCAUUACAGUAUCGCAAAUUUAUAAAAAUAUACAUCCUUUCAUGUGGUUUUAGAACAUUUUUGUUCACUGUUGUAUUGUUUCAUGUAUUGCGGCUGCAUACUUGCUUUGUUAUUUUAAUGCCUUUAUGCUCUUCCACUUUUCUUUUUUAUAAUCCCUGCCAUUAUUGGAACAACCAUGACUAUAACUGAUUGACUUACUAGGGAUAUUUUCUUAGAGUUCAGGCCUACUUUAGUGUAGGGAGAUGUCAACUGGAUUUGCGUGUGGGUGUGAGAGAGUGAGAGAGAGAGAGCAAAAGGCUUUAAAAAAAGAGUUCUCUGUAAGUGGAUUUUUGCUGAGCCUAAGAUUGGAUAUAUAUAAAACUUCCACAUGAGAAGGCACUGAUGGAUCAGUUCAAAAUCCUAAUAAGAUUAUAAACUAAACGCGAGAUAAUCAUACUUACAACUACCAGGUAAAAUCCUAGUUUUUCUGACAGGAAUUUUAGAUAGCUAGUUGUGCACCUAUCACAGCUACAGGAGAAUAUAAUACUGUUUUUAGUUUUGAAUUUACAUUAAUGGUGCGGAGGGUGCAAAAAUAAUUGCUGCUUCACUUGGGGGUUAAUCUAUAUAUAGAACUCCAGCUUUCAGCUGUCAGAUUGUUUCACGGGAUUCAUGAAGGUCUGUAUGGUGAGAAUGAGAGAAUCAUUCUCUUUAGGAAGGUGCCGAUGUGGAUUUUGAUGCUGAUUGCCGAGAUGUUUAAGUAUAUUGCAGCUGCACCGUAUAUCUAGAUAUUCUUGGUAUUCAUAGUUUUACUUAUCUAGGUAAGCUAAUCCAAUAAGUAGCGGCCAUGUGAAUCUGCGAUAAGGACUCAGACUCACUUUUGAGUUUUGACAUGUGGGAAGUGCAGCUUCUCUUAAUUGCCGUGAAGAGUUUUGUUUUUCAGCCAAAAAACUGCCAUGAAGAGUUUGGCUGGGAAAGAUUUGUUAAUAAUUUAGUUGUUCGUUUUCUUUUACUAGCGACUAAAACAUUUGGUUGUAGAAAAAGAUUUAAGUAAAUGUGCUUUACAAUUUAUUUGUAGAUUAACUCAUAACAUGUCAAGUAUAAGCAUUUCCUUAAAAUUAGAUUUAUUUAUUUUC